rnacentral:rRNA from 1 species
UACAGAGGUCUCAAGCGUUGUUCGGAUUCAUUGGGCGUAAAGGGUGCGUAGGCGGUAGGGUAAGUCUGGUGUGAAAUCCUGGAGCUCAACUCAAGAAAUGCACUUGGUACUGGGUGGCUAGAGGACCGGAGAGGAUAGUGGAAUUCCCAGUGUAGUGGUGAAAUACGUAGAGAUUGGGAAGAACACCAGUGGCGAAGGCGGCUAUCUGGACGGUUACUGACGCUGAGACGCGAAAGCGUGGGGAGCGAACAGG